GACAGAGGGUGCAAACGUUGUUCGGAAUUACUGGGCGUAAAGCGCGUGUAGGCGGCCCUGCAAGUCGGAUGUGAAAUCCCACGGCUCAACCGUGGAAGUGCAUUCGAAACUGCAGGGCUAGAGUCCUGGAGAGGAAGGUGGAAUGCUUGGUGUAGAGGUGAAAUUCGUAGAUAUCAAGCGGAACACCGGUGGCGAAGGCGGCCUUCUGGACCAACACUGACGCUCAUGCACGAAAGCGUGGGGAGCAAACAGG
rnacentral:rRNA from 1 species